rnacentral:rRNA from 1 species
UACGGAGGGAGCUAGCGUUGUUCGGAAUUACUGGGCGUAAAGCGCGCGUAGGCGGCUUUGUAAGUUAGAGGUGAAAGCCCGGGGCUCAACCCCGGAAUUGCCUUUAAGACUGCAUCGCUAGAAUCCAGGAGAGGUGAGUGGAAUUCCGAGUGUAGAGGUGAAAUUCGUAGAUAUUCGGAAGAACACCAGUGGCGAAGGCGGCUCACUGGACCGGUAUUGACGCUGAGGUGCGAAAGCGUGGGGAGCAAACAGG